rnacentral:lncRNA from 1 species
GGAAAGCAGCUAGAUUUUUUUUCUAGUGAACCUGGUGCAUCGUUUUUUAUUUUAAAAUUUUAUUUCUUACUUUUUAGUUAUAAUUAAAUAUAACAUGUCACGCCCUGGAUUACUCGUUUCCCUGGGCACGCCGACAAAUCCGCCGUAUACAAAGAAAUUUUUCCUGUAUACGAAGCGAUAGCCGUACCUGUAACCAUACAACACUACAAAUAGUAGUGUAGAGCUGCUAAAAAGAUCAAUAUAUAUAAACAAAGCUGGUUCACUGUGCAUACGUCACAUCCUGGUACAAAAGCACUCGCCCCAGCGAGGAACAACAUCAGUAUAUACAAGAACCAAAAACUACAACUACCUGUAGCUGGUACCCCUCUAGCUCUGCGACUAGUCUGGAAAGGCUCCAACUCAUAACGUCCUUGCCACGAUCAGUCUCGGUAGAAGCAGCAGCUGGAACAGCCGGCUCUACAAAACAGUGGUAAUAACUGGGCGUGAGAACUACUGUAAAAACUAGUAGUCCACAAUGGGUACCGCCCUCAAACUCAUCGGCUCACCCACU